rnacentral:rRNA from 1 species
GAUGAACGCUGGCGGCGUGCCUAAUACAUGCAAGUCGAGCGAACGGACGAGAAGCUUGCUUCUCUGAUGUUAGCGGCGGACGGGUGAGUAACACGUGGAUAACCUACCUAUAAGACUGGGAUAACCUCGGGAAACCGGAGCUAAUACCGGAUGAUAUUUUGAACCGCAUGGUUCAAAAGUGAAAGACGGUCUUGCUGUCACUUAUAGAUGGAUCCGCGCUGCAUUAGCUAGUUGGUAAGGUAACGGCUUACCAAGGCAACGAUGCAUAGCCGACCUGAGAGGGUGAUCGGCCACACUGGAACUGAGACACGGUCCAGACUCCUACGGGAGGCAGCAGUAGGGAAUCUUCCGCAAUGGGCGAAAGCCUGACGGAGCAACGCCGCGUGAGUGAUGAAGGUCUUCGGAUCGUAAAACUCUGUUAUUAGGGAAGAACAUAUGUGUAAGUAACUGUGCACAUCCUGACGGUACCUAAUCAGAAAGCCACGGCUAACUACGUG